UUAAAAAUCAGGUUAUGUGUUAGAACUUGCUUUAGUUAUAUUGUGGUUUUCUUUUUUACUUACCUGUAUCGGAAUUUGAAUUCAGAAAAUUCCAGUUAGAUGUAGUAUACGUGAGAAAGUAUAUGCCACACAAUCAUUUCAUAACAAACAAGUGCACCAAAAAAAUCCAGAGCCUUUAGCUUAUUCAUCUCAGAGGGGAUGCCCUGCAACUUUUAGUAGCCUUUUUCUUGAAGCAGAUUGUGAUGCUGCAUUCAAAACCCAUAAGAAUUCAGUGGACCAUUUGCAGAGAAUUCAAUUGCUGAAGUUUGAAACAGAGUGCCCUGUUAUGAAAAAUAUAAAUGAUUUUGGAAAUCAAAUAUUGAAACAAUUAACAAUUGCUCUUAUGUUUUGAAAAGUAGAAAUGCUAGUACUAUUGGUGAAAUAGUGUAUCACAAGUGCAACAGGUGUACCCACAUCAAGUGAGCACUAAUUUGAUUAUUGAGUGUAAAGGUAUUCAGAUUGGGUACAGAUAUGCUACAUGGAUAUGGUACAGCUGAGCCUAUAUUUCAAAAAUUAACAUAAAUAUUAACCCUAUAUAAGUGCAAUUUGAUAAAAGGUGAGAUAGAAUAAAAAAUUCUAACAUGUUAUAUCUCAAAAGGAGCUGAUUGACUUCUUUAUACACUCUGUUGUAAGUUAUAUCCUCAAUGACAACAGUAAUCAAAGACAUAGAUUGUUGAAGAGCCAGGGAUCUUGUAAAAUAAAAAGUUCUUGCACAAGCACAAUCAAAGUUAUUAAAGAAAAAAAAUAAAAUUAUGGUUGAGUAGCAAAAAGUACAUUAUGGUCAUAAGCUAGAUACUAGAACUAGACUGCAAAAACUGAAAAAUAAAAUGUUGCCACAAAGAUAACAAAUGGGUUUGCACCCCAAAGCUUUGGAUAAUGCUUUGAGUUAUAUGUGAAACAAUGAAGUCACAAGACAUUCUAGAGAGUAUUUUUCUAAUGCCUGCAGCCAUAAUUUAAAAAAAUGGGCUUACUGUUUUAGAAAAGAAGCUAGCAUUACCACAAAUAUGCAUAUGGACUUGAUGCAUAAAGUAAUUAAGUAUUUCUACUUGGAAACAAAGGCAGUAAAAUGCCUUCAUAAGGGUUUAAACAUGGUAUUGAAAUAUGUAAGAGACAAGAUUGGUGAACGAAUUAUUACAUUGAGCAAGGGUGAACAUUCCAAACAAACAAGACUGAUAUCUCAGAAUCACAAGGAGGCUAUUAAAAAUAGCAAUGAGCAUACAAUUUUUAAAAUUGGUAAUAACUGGAAAAUUUCCAAAAAUCAGAAUAGUUCAUAUACUAUCCACCAGAUAUUAGAAUCGAAAUGCUGUGAACAAUUAUGUUUGUUCUGUGAGGCACGUAAUCAUAAGAUUUUAUGUGAGUGCAAAUUCUAUAGAGAAAGAAAAAUUAUGUGCAAUUGAUAAUGAAAUUAGAAAGUUUAGAUUUUCAUCAGCUUGGUGAUGACACUAUCAAUAAAAUACAUCAGUAUUCAUCCAUAAUAAAUAACUUAUCUAAAUGUACAAAAUUGAUAGAAACGGAUAAUGAAUUGAAACCCAAAAAUAAAUCCUCUAAAAGAUACAUUGAUCCACAAAUUAGGUUCACAUCAACGAAAAAGAAACGCGAUCAGAAAAAAACAUUUCAUUGGGCCUCCCCACAAGAACUGACAACAAUUCAAGAAAACCUAUCACACGCCCUUGUAGAUGUAUUUUUUUACAAAGCAGUUCAACCUAUAAGUGACCACCAAUAUCGUUGAUUAUCACCAUUUCGAUAUUUAUGUUUUUUUGUUUGGCGAUAAACUCUUGUUUUUAGAAAAUUGUUUUUAUUAGCAUAGUUCCUGAGUUACAUUUUGAAUUUCCCGUGAAAUACGAACUGGCUACACUUGGCAACGUUGGUGCGGACUGGGUGGUUUAGCCCGAGAAUACCUACCACAGAGAAGCGACAAAGACGGCCAUUUUGUGUCCCUUUUUCGUAGACGCAUGCGUCGACUUGGUUGUCCCACGUCAUUCUCGGGCUUAGUUAUCUCCAUUAGUCUGUGAGCACUGAGCAAACAUAAUGAGGUAGGUAAUUAGUUACAAAAGGUACCUACCUAACUCGGUAUACAUUAAAUUUAUGCUAUUUAAGCAAGAGUUUUCAGGAGAUAAUUGGUUUUGAAGAAUACAUCGUGAGAGAAACAGUAGAAAAUUCAGUGAUAUUUAAGGCACUUGAAAUUAAAAUUAAAACAAUGCUCGAAUAGGACAAGCGAUGUGUGAUAUCUAUAGAUGAGAUGGCUUUAAAAUCCAAUAUUUUUUUUGAUACAGGAUGUGAUGAAAUUAUUGGUUUCGAAGAU